rnacentral:lncRNA from 1 species
CAGAUCAUGAGAAGUCUACAUUAUUUCCAUGGAGAACACUGCCUCUGUCCUGUCAGUUUCAUGGCACUCAGGACUGGAAAGAUGUGCCUCUCUCAAGAGAAAUCACUCACUGGGCCUCCAAAGAACUGUCUGGGUCCACCUGCUCUCAGAUGAGUAAAAGGAGAGAGAUGAAGUUUUACAAAUGUAAUGAGAGCAGCAGUGGCCUGAAUAGGAAUUAUAAG